rnacentral:rRNA from 1 species
ACAAGCGGUGGAGUAUGUGGUUUAAUUCGAUGCAACGCGAAGAACCUUACCUGGUCUUGACAUCCCGGAGACCCUUAGGAAACUAGGGGUGCCUUUCCAUCUGGAAGAAUCUGGAGACAGGUGCUGCAUGGCUGUCGUCAGCUCGUGUCGUGAGAUGUUGGGUUAAGUCCCGCAACGAGCGCAACCCUUGCCUUUAGUUGCCAGCAGUUCGGCUGGGCACUCUAAAGGGACUGCCGGUGUUAAACCGGAGGAAGGUGGGGAUGACGUCAAGUCCUCAUGGCCUUUAUGACCAGGGCUACACACGUACUACAAUGGCCGAUACAAAGGGCAGCGACACUGCGAGGUGAAGCCAAUCCCGUAAAAUCGGUCUCAGUCCGGAUUGGAGUCUGCAACUCGACUCCAUGAAGUUGGAAUCGCUAGUAAUCGUGGAUCAGCAUGCCACGGUGAAUACGUUCCCGGGCCUU